CAUGAGAAGCUGCUCUGAAUGA
rnacentral:miRNA from 1 species